rnacentral:tmRNA from 1 species
GGGGGCGCUUGGUUUCGACAGAGCGCUGAAUGUUUUGGGAGCAUGCCAAGGACCAGGUCCUUGUAAAAACUUGGAAAUAAAUUAAACGCUAAUCAAACAGAUUACGCUCUCGCCGCUUAAUUAGCGGCGACAUUUCCGGUAUUGCCCGCCUGCGGCGGUUACGGAGGUGUAACAGAUGCAGGCUGACCACCCGCGGAUGCUCCGGCUGCGGUGGUGAGAAAAAAGGAGCUUUUUCUGACCUUAGCCCGGCUGUGGGCAUGGAAAGAAGAAAAAUAAACGCAGCCUAAGCAUGUAGUGUCCGGAAAGGUAGGUUCUUUGGACGCGGGUUCGAUUCCCGCCGCCUCCAUUU